AGACGUGUGACUCAACUGGUAGAGCACCUGCCUAGCAAGCUGUAAGUCCUGAGUUCAAACCCCAGCACUACGA
rnacentral:tRNA from 1 species